GAUGAACGCUAGCGGGAGGCCUAACACAUGCAAGCCGAACGGUAUGGUUUCGUCGGAAUUGAGAGCGCGGCGUACGGGUGCGUAACACGUGUGCAAGCAACCUUUAUCUGGGGGAGGGCCUAUCGCAAGGAAGAUUAAUACACAAUAAUAUAUUGAACGGCAUCGAUUAAUAUUGAAGGAUACGUCGGAUAGAGAUGGGCGGGCGCAGGAUUAGCUAGUUGGUGAGGUAGGGGCUCACCAAGUAGAUGAUCUUUAGGGGGCCUGCGAGGGUGAGCCCCCAGACUGGGACUGGGACCCUUGCCAGACUCCUACGGCAGGCAGUAGUGCGGAAGACUGCUGAAGGGGUGCAAGCCUGAUCCAGCCAUCCCGCGUGAAGGAACACCGCCUUAUGGAUGGUAAACUUCGUUUUGAAAGGGACAAACCCACCCUCGGGAGCGUAGCUGAAGGUAAUAGAUGAAGAAGCACCGGCUAACUACGUG
rnacentral:rRNA from 1 species